GGAGUUAGCCGGUGCUUCUUCUGCGAGUAACGUCACAGAUGUAAGGUAUUAACUUACACCCUUUCCUCCUCGCUGAAAGUGCUUUACAACCCGAAGGCCUUCUUCACACACGCGGCAUGGCUGCAUCAGGGUUUCCCCCAUUGUGCAAUAUUCCCCACUGCUGCCUCCCGUAGGAGUCUGGGCCGUGUCUCAGUCCCAGUGUGGCUGAUCAUCCUCUCAGACCAGCUAGGGAUCGUCGCCUAGGUGAGCCUUUACCUCACCUACUAGCUAAUCCCACCUGGGCUUAUCCAUCAGCGCAAGGCCCGAAGGUCCCCUGCUUUCCCCCGUAGGGCGUAUGCGGUAUUAGCAGUCGUUUCCAACUGUUAUCCCCCACAAAUGGGCAAAUUCCCAGGCAUUACUCACCCGUCCGCCGCUCGUCAUCUUCAAAAGCAAGCUUUUGAAAUGUUACCGCUCGACUUGCAUGUNUUAGGCCUGCCGCCAGCGUUCAAUCUGAGCCAUANACAACACU
rnacentral:rRNA from 1 species